UGAUGAGUUGAUGAGCAGAAGUGAAAGUGAAUCUGUUCCAGUUCAGAGAGUUAAACCAAUCAAACAGUGUUCAGAGUUUCUGCAGCUCAGAAUAGAGCAGAUCAAACCACAUUUACUGCCCUCAACUAUUACAAACAUCACAACCAUCGACACACUGAAUAUAUCCCUAAACAUAUCUCUGAAUAUCUCUCUCUGAAUAGAAUCACUCCAUUACACUGAUUUAGCCGAGCUCAGAGAUAUUACAACAGUUCAGAAGCGGCUUAUUAGUAAAGCUGCAGCACAAAACCACAACCAACGCAUCUGCUGUCCUGAUGUAGAUGAUCAUGUGUGUGUGUGUGUGUGUGUGUGUGUGUGUGUGUGUGUGUGUGUGUGUGUGUUUGCAUAUUGAGUGCUGUGAGUGUUUAUAGUGCUGUGAGUUGAACACUUCAUCACUGACACACACAUCAAUCUUCAUCAUCAUGACCUUCAUCAUCAUCUUCAUCUGGACUCUUUCAUACAGCUUCAUCCUGCGAGGAUGUGCAGCUCAGAUCACAGUGACUCAAAGUCCAGUGGAACCUGUUAAACCUGGAGAAAAUGUGGAGAUGAGAUGCAAACUCAAUCAAUAUUCAAACUGCAGCCCAUACCCCUGUUUGUACUGGUACUUACAGAAACCUGGAGAAGCUCCUAAACUCUUGAUUUAUUACGUAAACCGUCUCCAGUCAGGAACAGCAUCUAGAUUCAGUGGCAGUGGAUCUCAUGUUGAUUUCACUCUGAGCAUCAGUGGAGUCCAGACUGAAGAUGCUGGACAUUAUUACUGUAUGAGUUUACACUACAUCAACAGUAAAGAUGUGUUGACACAGUGAUAAAGAGUGGUACAAAAACCUCCGUCAGUCAGUCAGAGUCACAGAGACUGAACUGAUCCUGGAGCAGCUCACAGGAGGAUGUGAAACUACAGUCACUCAAGCAUCAGAAAUAAAAUCAUCCAGAUGAAUCUGUCGCUCUUCAUCAUCAUAGAGAGCAAAAGUCAAAGCAUUAGUGGACAGAAACAAACCAAAAGUCCAUCAUUGUUCACCAGAGUCUCCAUCAGACCACAAACGCACACACGCACACAAACACACAUUAACAGUUUGUUCAGUUUUGUUAUGUUUUGUGUUUGUUCUUAUGUUGAUGAUUGUGUCUCGCGUGAUCAGAUCCUCUUCUUCUAGUCCUCUUCUUCCUCUCUCUGGACUGCUGUAGAUGUCAGCUGUGGUCUGCAGGAGUUUAUUCAGCUGAUGUUCUUCUUUCUCUUCUCUUCAGUGAUUCUGGAUUCAGUGUUUGUGUUUGUGUUCUGCAGCUCUUCAUCUUUCUCUGUUUGCUCAGAGGAGAAACGCUCAUGUCUGAGUCUGCUUUCUCUAAAGCUUUCUUCUGGAUCUCCAUCAGCUGCUGGAGUUUUGCUUCAUGGUCUCCAUCACAGAUUGUGUUGUUUGGUUGAGUUUGCUGGAGCUGCUCUUCAGCGGAUCUUCCUUCAACACUGACAUUCAGAUUCAACUCAACUCAACCAUUUACUGAACAUGAACCAGACCAGCAUUUCACCACGACUGCUGUCUGCCUGAUCUACUGAAUAUGGCCCUCAGACAUGUCAUGGUUUCUGACUCUUAAUGUUGUCCUCUUCAUUCUUUAAAAGAGCCACUAUUACGGGUUUUUGAAAAUGAUCUUCAUGCAGUGUAAAACAGCUCAAGGUGAAUGAAAACAUCCAGCUGAGGCUCAAAUCUAAAGGUGCAGCAUGUUUAAAACUAUUAACUCUUUAGCUAAAUAUUUGACUCAAGAGUAGAAUAAACGAACCAAGUUGGGUUUACAUCUUUUGCUUGAUCGCAUCGACGUCGAUGCGGUACAUCACCAAAUAUGUAGUUUCAGUUCUCGUAAAAUGUGCUCGCGCUUUCACUUCAGACACCAGCGGAGGCGCGGGGGAUCACAGGACUGAUCAUGACGCGAAGAUGACAAUCACUGACAGAUGGAGAUUCGGCUGCGGGGAAUAAAGGGUUAAAGUUCAUUUUCACAACAACACCACAGUAUAGCCAACCUAGUGCUGUGUUUGCUCCUGUCAUUUUUCUGAUUUUUGAUACAAUAAUCUAUGCUGCAAUGCGGGAUUCGCCGGCCGUUUGCUAUUGAAGGAGCAGCAGAGACUAUGGGACUUUGUCAGACUUUAAUAG